rnacentral:rRNA from 1 species
ACGAUGAAGCCCUUCGGGGUGGAUUAGUGGCGAACGGGUGAGUAACACGUGGGCAAUCUGCCCUUCACUCUGGGACAAGCCCUGGAAACGGGGUCUAAUACCGGAUACGACCCGCCGAUGCAUGUCGGUGGGUGGAAAGCUCCGGCGGUGAAGGAUGAGCCCGCGGCCUAUCAGCUUGUUGGUGGGGUAACGGCCCACCAAGGCGACGACGGGUAGCCGGCCUGAGAGGGCGACCGGCCACACUGGGACUGAGACACGGCCCAGACUCCUACGGGAGGCAGCAGUGGGGAAUAUUGCACAAUGGGCGCAAGCCUGAUGCAGCGACGCCGCGUGAGGGAUGACGGCCUUCGGGUUGUAAACCUCUUUCAGCAGGGAAGAAGCGCAAGUGACGGUACCUGCAGAAGAAGCGCCGGCUAACUACGUGCCAGCAGCCGCGGUAAUACGUAGGGCGCAAGCGUUGUCCGGAAUUAUUGGGCGUAAAGAGCUCGUAGGCGGCUUGUCACGUCGGGUGUGAAAGCCCGGGGCUUAACCCCGGGUCUGC